GUCCUCCCCCCCAGGUGCCCUCGCGCCCCAACCGUGCCCCGCCCGGGGUCCCCAGGGUUGGUGUGGGCUCAAGGGAGACAGUGGCUAGAGGAAUGCCUCCUGAACCACAAAGGUGGCUCUACGAGCACUUGGCUAACUUCCAACAAUCACUAUCAGUGACCCCUGAGGAGCGUCAGCCACGCUGCUCUCUCACCUCCCUUCUCAGCGAGCCUCGGGACUCAGUGCCACUGCCCAGGAUCUCCGUGGCUGAGCCUGGGGGGCCUUGGGACAGGCUCCGCACCCGAGCUGGCAGACAUGGGUGUUCUCCAGCGCGGCCAGAGGGCAGAGAGCUCGUGGCUUAGGGUGUAGGGGCAGGAAGCUUGGGCUCCGGCAGCCUUGGAACCUCACCCUGGGGGGCCAUACUCGCUCCCCAGCUCCCCAGUCAGCCAUGCUGCUGGGGCCAGACGGCCAGCUCGCAGCUCGGAGCAAUAGGACCCGAAUCCACCAGAGGGCAGAGUCCCACCUCUACUGUGCAGUGAUCUGGGGAGAAGGCUCUGGUUGGUGGAUAAUUUCUGAAAGCCUCGGGGGUCCUAUCCACACCAUCAGCCCAGAACACACCUCACAGGCGAGGCAGGUCCCGCAGCCCCUUCCCCCGCCUCCUUGGUGUUGUCACGCCUGGGAGUGCACGACUGAAGGCAGCGUUCUCAGCCCCAGGGCUCACAGACCUGGGCCUGUUGCUCCUAGAGGCGGCCCACACUUUCCAGCCAGGGGGACGGCAGUGUCUGCUGACCUGGGCAGGCCAGCCUCUCUGGGUUCCAUCCUGGCUGGGCCGCAGAACUCGCCCAGCGAACCCGCCUGCCACUCCGUCCCUGCCGCUGACUCUCAUUCUUCUGCUUUUCCCCAGCAGGAAGGGCCCAGCCUCACCUACGCGACCUGCGGUCCCCCGACCACCUGAGGCUCCCCUCUUAGACUUAUAAGCCUGUGGCCACUGGCAUCCAGCUGCCUGCCCUCCACUCCCCAGGGUCCCUUCCGAGGACUCCCGAGCUUUCUGCCCACCCAGAGAGGCCUCCAGGGCUCCCUCCAGCCAUCCUUUUAGCUUUGCCCUCCUGGUUGAAACAGUGUUCUUCCUCCUGUCUUUUCCAUCAGGCCUGGUGGCUGUUGCCUGGGGCUCAGAGCCCCAUCCUCCCUGAGACUAGUGGCGGCCUGGGCCAGUGGGUUGAGGAUAGGGAACCACAGAAGGAAGCCAGAGGGGGCUGAGCAUGUGUCUGGAGCUAUGGGUGCACUGCCUGGUGGUGUGUGAGAGACCAGCGUGCGUGGCGGGGGAGGGCCACCCCAGCCUCCAGCCCAGACCCCACAAAGCUCUGGCCCCGCCCAUCUCCAGCUCCUCCCUUCCACCUUCCCUUUCUUGUCUCUCCCCUCUCUUCCAGAAUCCUUGCCCACACCUUCGCCUGCGUCUUCUUCCCCUGCCCUCCCCUCACACGCCUGCGGGCUCCGCUGCCCUUGCCUUACCAGCUCUCUCCCUCCUCUCUCCUGUUCUCUGUUUCCUCUCCAACUGCCAGCCGAUCGGGUCAGGCAAGUCCAUCCCGUCCUGAGAGCCCCAGGCCCCCCUUCGACCUCUAACCAGAUCCCUCUAUUCCUCGGAGACUUCUCUUUCCAAGCCUUCCUGGACGGCUGUUCUGUGACUUGACAGUGGCUCCCCAGCCCCAAAGCCUCCCCCUUCAUCUGUGACUUAGUCUGUAGUGGUGAGCUGACACACCCAGCGUGACGUUGGUGAAACUUGUGCCCCUCUGUGGUAUUUCUCCUGCUCCGUUCUAUAAAUAACUAUAAAUAACCAUAUAUUAUACAUAUAUAUAUAUACAUGCACACAGACAUGGCUGCCAGUCUCACCUCUAGUGCUGGGAAUUACCGUGCUGUCCUUGAGGAGUCUUGUGACCCAACUAUAAGGGAACACAGUCACCCUGACAUCCUCCUCCAAAGCGUGCCACCUCCGAUGAGCUUCCCUGUCAUGCCCACCCAGCCUGUGACAGCCAGCCCCCUCUGCUGCCAGCCCACCCCUCCCUCCUCCUGCGCAGGGGUGCUGUAUUGGCAGCUGCGUGGUUCUCUGACUGCUACCAGUCUUACUGUCUCUUGGCUGAGAAUAAAUAAAACCCAUUUCUGGACAAUGGGGAAAAGUG